rnacentral:rRNA from 1 species
UACGGAGGGUGCGAGCGUUGUCCGGAAUCACUGGGCGUAAGGGCGCGUAGGUGGCGCGGGCAGUCAACGGUGAAAGUUCGGGGCUCAACCCUGAAUCGGCCGUCGAUACUCCCGUGCUUGAGCACUGUAGAGGCAGAUGGAAUUCCGGGUGUAGCGGUGGAAUGCGUAGAGAUCCGGAAGAACACCGGUGGCGAAGGCGGUCUGCUGGGCAGUAGCUGACACUGAGGCGCGACAGCGUGGGGAGCAAACAGG